GAUGAACGCUGGCGGCGUGCCUAAUACAUGCAAGUCGAGCGAACAGACGAGAGUGCUUGCACUCUCUGACGUUAGCGGCGGACGGGUGAGUAACACGUGGGUAACCUACCUAUAAGACUGGGAUAACUUCGGGAAACCGGAGCUAAUACCGGAUAAUAUUUAGCUUCGCAUGAAGCAAUAGUGAAAGACGGUUCUGCUGUCACUUAUAGAUGGACCCGCGGUGUAUUAGCUAGUUGGUGAGGUAACGGCUCACCAAGGCAACGAUACAUAGCCGUCCUGAGAGGGUGAUCGGCCACACUGGGACUGAGACACGGCCCAGACUCCUACGGGAGGCAGCAGUAGGGAAUCUUCCGCAAUGGACGAAAGUCUGACGGAGCAAUGCCGCGUGAGUGAAGAAGGUUUUCGGAUCGUAAAACUCUGUUGUAAGGGAAGAACAAGUACGUUAGUAACUGAACGUACCUUGACGGUACCUUACCAGAAAGCCACGGCUAACUACGUG
rnacentral:rRNA from 1 species